UCGUAACAAGGUUUCCGUAGGUGAACCUGCGGAAGGAUCAUUACCGAGUGUAGGGUUCCUAGCGAGCCCAACCUCCCACCCGUGUUUACUGUACCUUAGUUGCUUCGGCGGGCCCGCCAUUCAUGGCCGCCGGGGGCUCUCAGCCCCGGGCCCGCGCCCGCCGGAGACACCACGAACUCUGUCUGAUCUAGUGAAGUCUGAGUUGAUUGUAUCGCAAUCAGUUAAAACUUUCAACAAUGGAUCUCUUGGUUCCGGCAUCGAUGAAGAACGCAGCGAAAUGCGAUAACUAGUGUGAAUUGCAGAAUUCCGUGAAUCAUCGAGUCUUUGAACGCACAUUGCGCCCCCUGGUAUUCCGGGGGGCAUGCCUGUCCGAGCGUCAUUGCUGCCCAUCAAGCACGGCUUGUGUGUUGGGUCGUCGUCCCCUCUCCGGGGGGGACGGGCCCCAAAGGCAGCGGCGGCACCGCGUCCGAUCCUCGAGCGUAUGGGGCUUUGUCACCCGCUCUGUAGGCCCGGCCGGCGCUUGCCGAACGCAAAUCAAUCUUUUUCCAGGUUGACCUCGGAUCAGGUAGGGAUACCCGCUGAACUUAAGCAUAUCA
rnacentral:misc_RNA from 1 species